GAUGAACGCUGGCGGCGUGCCUAAUACAUGCAAGUCGAGCGAACAGACGAGGAGCUUGCUCCUCUGACGUUAGCGGCGGACGGGUGAGUAACACGUGGAUAACCUACCUAUAAGACUGGGAUAACUUCGGGAGACCGGAGCUAAUACCGGAUAAUAUAUUGAACCGCAUGGUUCAAUAGUGAAAGACGGUUUUGCUGUCACUUAUAGAUGGAUCCGCGCCGCAUUAGCUAGUUGGUAAGGUAACGGCUUACCAAGGCAACGAUGCGUAGCCGACCUGAGAGGGUGAUCGGCCACACUGGAACUGAGGCACGGUCCAGACUCCUACGGGAGGCAGCAGUAGGGAAUCUUCCGCAAUGGGCGAAAGCCUGACGGAGCAACGCCGCGUGAGUGAUGAAGGUCUUCGGAUCGUAAAACUCUGUUAUUAGGGAAGAACAAAUGUGUAAGUAACUAUGCACGUCUUGACGGUACCUAAUCAGAAAGCCACGGCUAACUACGUG
rnacentral:rRNA from 1 species